AGUGAACGCUGGCGGUAGGCCUAACACAUGCAAGUCGAACGGCAGCACAGUAAGAGCUUGCUCUUACGGGUGGCGAGUGGCGGACGGGUGAGGAAUACAUCGGAAUCUACUUUUUCGUGGGGGAUAACGUAGGGAAACUUACGCUAAUACCGCAUACGACCUACGGGGGAAAGCAGGGGAUCUUCGGACCUUGCGCGAUUGAAUGAGCCGAUGUCGGAUUAGCUAGUUGGGGGGGUAAAGGCCCACCAAGGCGACGAUCCGUAGCUGGUCUGAUAGGAUGAUCAGCCACACUGGAACUGAGACACGGUCCAGACUCCUACGGGAGGCAGCAGUGGGGAAUAUUGGACAAUGGGCGCAAGCCUGAUCCAGCCAUACCGCGUGGGUGAAGAAGGCCUUCGGGUUGUAAAGCCCUUUUGUUGGGAAAGAAAAGCAGCAGGUUAAUACCCCGCUGUUCUGACGGUACCCAAAGAAUAAGCACCGGCUAACUUCGUG
rnacentral:rRNA from 1 species